UGGGGAUCUGACAUACAUAAAGUGGA
rnacentral:piRNA from 1 species